rnacentral:rRNA from 1 species
UACGUAGGUGGCAAGCGUUGUCCGGAAUUAUUGGGCGUAAAGCGCGCGCAGGCGGUCCCUUAAGUCUGAUGUGAAAGCCCACGGCUCAACCGUGGAGGGUCAUUGGAAACUGGGGGACUUGAGUGCAGAAGAGGAAAGUGGAAUUCCAUGUGUAGCGGUGAAAUGCGUAGAGAUGUGGAGGAACACCAGUGGCGAAGGCGACUUUCUGGUCUGUAACUGACGCUGAGGCUCGAAAGCGUGGGGAGCGAACAGG